rnacentral:rRNA from 1 species
GACGAACGCUGGCGGCGUGCCUAAUACAUGCAAGUUGAGCGCUGAAGGUUGGUACUUGUACCAACUGGAUGAGCAGCGAACGGGUGAGUAACGCGUGUGGAAUCUGCCUUUGAGCGGGGGACAACAUUUGGAAACGAAUGCUAAUACCGCAUAAAAACUUUAAACACAAUUUUUAAUUUUGAAAUAUUCAAUUGCAUCACUCAAAGAUUAUCCCGCGUUGUAUUAGCUAGUUGGUGAGGUAAAGGCUCACCAAGGCGAUGAUACAUAGCCGACCUGAGAGGGUGAUCGGCCACAUUGGGACUGAGACACGGCACAAACUCCUACGGGAGGCAGCAGUAGGGAAUCUUGGGCAAUGGACGAAAGUCUGACCGAGCAAAGCCGCGUGAGUGAAGAAGGUUUUCGGAUCGUAAAACUCUGUUGGUAGAGAAGAAAGUUGGUGAGAGUGGAAAGCUCAUCAAGUGACGGUAACUACCCAGAAAGGGACGGCUAACUACGUG